GAUAGAACGCAACAGCGCGGCUGAUAUAUCGGACGAGUUUUUGAAUGGUGUAAAAACAUGUAUUUUUAUUAUUAACGGUUCGCUUUGUUAACGAAUCAUUACGAAGAGCAGCGUGAUGGUAUUUGUGAGGAGUCCUCUGUCCGUACAAGAGUGGUCCAGGGACAACUGAGUCUCCGUGUGAGAUCGACUGUUCAUUGAGAAUGGAAAACCAAUCCAAUGAUGGCGGCGGAUCGGAUGAGAAAUAGGCUCAAAAGUCGAAGAAGAUUCUGAUACGGUAACCUGUGCUUUGUGUGCUGCUACUAGUAGCAUGCCCUAGCACCGAAACUGAAUUGGGUGGAUCCACCGGAAAACAGACAGGGGCCUAACCUCAUCCAAGACGUCUACGCCUAGGGGGCACGCAAGGUAUUUAGGACUUAACGGUGUGCAAAGGUUGGGAACAGACUGCAAGCCCAAGGAGGCUUUAUGGCCCUACCCACCAAACGACUCCCCUGGUACUUUCUCACCCGACGUCCGAUCUCUGCCCAGUUCAGAAUCCAGAGUAAGGGGGGUCAAUGCUACAACCAAACUCCCGGGUCAUCUAGGCGAACGUCGACGACCAACAAUGCCAGUUUAUUAUUGUUAUUCCCAUCUAAUGUAACUUAAAAGAAACAGAAACUCUCUCUCUAAUCUUUAACCAUAUUUUACAAAGUGUGCUAGAUUAAAUAUCGAAACUCCACUAGAUCCGGUGCAUCUACACGCAGGGCACGUUGUUAAGGGUGGCCUUACGAGUGCGAAACAUCAUUCCGUUGAUAGCGUUACGGCCAGGAAUGACAAAUGACGAAAGGAAAAGGCAACUUAACAAAUCGCUCAAAACAAUUCGUAUGUACGUCUGCUCCUAAACGACCAAUAGCUGUGCCGUUUCGCCAACGGCCUAGACGUGAUUAAACGUGGACAUUUAUUAGCUGUUCUGGUAUUCGAAUCUCGCCUCUCGUGCAGUAAUGCCCAAGGAUCGCCACGCUGUCGCGUCUAAGUUUGUGACGGUUUAAAAGUGGCGCCAUCACAACCUAGUGUUGAAUUGCGAGUGUUUCCCUUGAAACUUUACUGCCAAUAACAGAGUAGGAUGUGGAGACGUGUGCUAUGCGAAUACGUGACACGCUGCUAACCGUUUAGUGGCAGAUUUUAUGUCCGUAAUUUAUUUUGUAGUUGACACGAUCAGUGAAUACGACAUUUGGUGUUUAAGUUUUUGCUGGUUAUGUCAAUGAAAGGAUGCUUCGGGAUUUUAAUUAUUUUAUUGACUUUUUAGGCAGACGAGCAAACGGUCCACCUGAUGGUGAGUGGUUACCGUCGCCCAUGGACUUCAGGAAUACCAGGGACAGAGCCAAACCGCUGCUGCUUGGCAUCAGCUUUAAUAGCAACGGGGUGCGUGUGGUGUCUUCAAGCUGAUAUGACUUUAGAAAUGCAAGCACCUUUUGACUGUCAGAUAAGGCCAACUGUUUCAUUACUACUAAUUGCAAAUGAUAAGUCAUUAAAUAUAAGCUACACGUUUAGAGAAAAUUUUGUCUGCCUGAAUUAAAGACUGCCUGGGACCAAUAAAAUAUAGACGUAGUGCCAACCCGCGCAUUGCACUCUGAAGGGUAUAACAGUUACGGGGUGGAUCCAAGAGCUCUUUAAAAAAAAAGUAAAUUGUAAUUGUCACGGAGUUUAUUGAAAUAAAAGUUUAAAAAAACUGAUACAAUUUAUACGUGUUCCCACUAAUAAAACUAAAUCUAUUCUGCACAUAUCAGUAAUCAAUUGUUUUAUAUAAAUACAAUGCGUUCAAGACUGCUUU